AACGCUCGGUCAGAAUCCGUUCCUUCUUUUAAAGGUCCGUCGAAGGGAUACGUAGUAACAAUCAGUCUACUCGUGCGACUUUUGACAUAACAAACGCACGCGUCCGCCUCGCUCCGUUGCUCGCAGGCCUCUGAAAUGACAGGAAACUUACUCAGCAAAAUAUCUCAAUAGAAGAAAUGCGCGCAUCUUUUUAUCGCUCUCGUUCGAGCAACCGCAAUAAAAAUGACGUCUUGGUACAGAUAGCACGCUUCACUAAGUUUCGUCUUUUUUUAUCCUCUACUCUUGAACAAGAUAAAAGUGUGAAAUAGAUCUAAAUGAUACGUAAAACAUCUUUGUUAUACUUUUUUUUGAUUUACUAAAAUCAUGCAGUAAAUAAUGGCAACAUGUAACAAUAUACAUAUGUUAAAAUA